rnacentral:rRNA from 1 species
UACGUAGGGGGCAAGCGUUGUCCGGAAUCAUUGGGCGUAAAGAGCGUGUAGGCGGCCCGAUAAGUCCGCCGUGAAAGUCCAGGGCUCAACCCUGGAAUGCCGGUGGAAACUGUCGGGCUGGAAUCCGGAAGAGGCGAGUGGAAUUCCUGGUGUAGCGGUGAAAUGCGCAGAUAUCAGGAGGAAAACCAAUGGCGAAGGCAGCUCGCUGGGACGGUACUGACGCUGAGACGCGAAAGCGUGGGGAGCAAACAGG